rnacentral:rRNA from 1 species
CUGGCCUCAAAUCAGGUAGGACUACCCGCUGAACUUAAGCAUAUCAAUAAGCGGAGGAAAAGAAACUAACAAGGAUUCCCCUAGUAACGGCGAGUGAAGAGGGAAAAGCUCAAAUUUAAAAUCUGGCGGUCUACGGUCGUCCGAGUUGUAGUUUAGAGAGGUGUUUUCCGCGUCGGACCACACACAAGUCCUUUGGAAUAAGGCUUCAUAGAGGGUGAGAAUCCCGUUCAUGGUGUGGACUACCGAGGCUAUGUGAUGCACCCUCAAAGAGUCGAGUUGUUUGGGAAUGCAGCUCAAAACGGGUGGUAAAUUCCAUCUAAAGCUAAAUAUUGGCGAGAGACCGAUAGCGAACAAGUACCGUGAGGGAAAGAUGAAAAGCACUUUGGAAAGAGAGUUAAACAGUACGUGAAAUUGUUGAAAGGGAAACGUUUGAAGUCAGUCGCGUCGGUCGAGACUCAACCUUGCUCUUUUGCUCGGCGCACUUCUCGGCCGACGGGUCAGCAUCAAUUUCGACCGUCGGAUAAAGGCCGAGGGAAUGUGGCAUCUUUCGGGAUGUGUUAUAGCCUUCGGUUCGCAUACGGCGAUCGGGAUUGAGGAACUCAGCGCGCCUUCAUCGGUCGGGGCUUCGGCUCACGUUAACGC